AGGCGAUUGGUGUAACGGCAGCACACGACACUUUGACUGUCGCGGAAUAGGUUCGAGUCCUAUAUCGCUUG
rnacentral:tRNA from 1 species